AGAGGAAGCCAGGUGCCCCCUAGGGAGAGCAGCUGAACGUGUCUCUGGGCAGGCCCGCAGAGUCCUGUUGCCCACGCUCUCAGGAGGGAGCUGGACGCUCUGGUAGCCAGAGCUCAGGGCUGAGCCACGUGUUCAGGAAGGCCUGUAACUCCUACAAACAAAAAUUUGAGAGGCCUCUCCAGCUCAGCUAGUGCCCUGAAGGCAGAGCGAGGGAGCAUAGCAGCAGGCCACUGCGUGCUCCUCCCCUGGGGCUCAGACACAGUCGAGGGACUCCCGCCAUCCAUUCACUCAGCCAACCUUGACUGAGCCCUGGGCCCAGCCCGAGGACAUGCCAGUGAACAUGACAGAAGUCCUUCCUUCCUGGAACUGACAGUCGGGGAGCCGUGCGGCACAGAGAGAGACUGUAUAAACAUCCUGGGCCACUCAGAAACAUGACCGGAACUGUUUAAAGAUCAACUGAGGCAUAUGAAAAUUUUUAAGACUUUACUUGAGCAAAAUCGAUGGGAAUCAGGCAAGGCCAAGCGGAAGUGGUUAGGAGUGCUCCGCCAAGGGGAGCCCGGGGAAAACUCACCUAGAGAAGCUUUGGCCAUUGGGAGCUCUUUCAGGUUGGUUCCAGCAUCACUUUGACGUGCCUUCAUCCUUUUGUUUGAGGGAACCUCCUUACUUUCUCGCAUUAUAAGAUGCUCCAGGGUGACCCCAAAUAGCCAAAGGAAUCCUGAGGAAAAAGAACAAAGCUGGAGGUAUCACACUCCCUGAUUUCAAAAUAUACUACAAAGCUAUAGUAACCAAAACAGCAUGGUACUGACACAGAAAUAGACACGUAGAUCAAUGGAACAGAAUCGACAACCCAGAAAUAAACCCACACAUAUAUGGACAGCUAAUUUUCAACAAGGGAGCCAAGAGCAUACAAUGGAGAAAGGAGAGUCUCUUCCAUAAGUAGCGCUGGGAAAACUGGACAGCCACAUGGAAAAGAAUGAAAGCAGACCAUCAUCUUACACUAUACACACAAAUUAACUCAAAGUGGAUUAAAGAUUUGAAUGUAAGACCUGAAACCAUGAAACUUCUCGAAGAAAACAUAGGCAGCACGCUCUUUGACAUCGGUCUUAGCAGCAUGUUUUCAACUACCAUGUCUGACUGGGCAAGGGAAACAAAAGAAAAAAUAAACAAAUGGGACUACAUCAAACUAAAAUCUUCUGCACAGCAAAGGAAACCAUCAAGAAAACGAAAAGACAACCUAACAUGGGGAGAAGAUAUUUGCCAACCAUAUAUCAGAUAAGGGGUUAAUAUCCAAAAUAUACAAAAAACUCAUGUGUCUCAACAACAAAAAAACCAACAACCCAAUUAAAAAAUGGGCAAAAGAUCUGAAGGAGAGUUCUCCAAAGAAGAUAUGCAGAUGGCCAACAGGCACAGGAAAAGAUGUUCAACAUUAUUAACUAUCAGGGAAAUGCAAAUCAAAACUACAAUGAGGCAUCACCUCACUCUGGUCAGAAUGGCUAUAGUUAACAAGACAGGAAACAGCAAAUGUUGGAGAGGGUGUGGAGAGAAGGGAACCCUCAUACACUGCUGGUGGGAGUGCAAACUGGUG
ensembl:lncRNA